AAAAGAGGAAAAACAAUUCUAUUUCUACUUGAAUAGAAUUUACAACUGAGUUUACAAACUCAACAAAAAACCUCUCAAAAGAAUCUCUCUAAUCUCUCCUUUUUUUCUCUCUUCUCUAUCCUAUUUUUCUUCCUCUCAAGGGAAGGAAUCUCUCUUUUAUUGUGGCCUUACCCUCUCUCUAUUGUGGCUUUUUUUUUUCUCUUGGUAAACACCCCUAUUUAUAGAGAAAAAUGUUGCAAGAACCGCCAUAAAUUAUGGCCCAAAAUCUGCCAAACAAACCGCCUCAUAUUGGCCGAAAUUUGCUUGUCAAACCGCCUCAAUUUUCUGGUCCAAAAAUUGCCAGCCAACUGCCUAAAAAUUCUGCCAAAGAGCUGCCAUGAAAAUGCAUGAAACCAGGCUAUUUUCAUGCAAAUUUCCAGCUGUAAUUUAAUGCAUGAAUCAGAAAAUGGUGGCUGCAACGUCUGAGGCGGUUGGGAGCUUCUAGCAUGUGGGAGGUAAGGUGGCUGGAGAAAUUUAAUUGAAAUUGUCUUCCUUUUGCAUGGUUGAUUUUUCAAUUUCUUCAGCUGGAAGAAACUCAAAAAUUGCAGCUGUAAUACGGCAAAAAUACGGCUGGAAUAUAUCAAUUCUCCCCCUCCAGUGGUAUUUAAAUCAAUUGUUAUCUGACAACCAACCCGGCUAUCUCUCUGCAUAGUUCUAACUUCUCCCUUGUAACCACCUUUGUUAACAUAUCUGAUGGAUUCUCAUUUGUGUGAAUCUUUACUAGUCUCAACAGCUGUUGAUCCAUCACCUCUCUUAUCCAGUGAUAGCGAAUGUCAAUGUGCUUUGUUCGAGAGUGAUACAUUGAGUUCUUACUCAAGUCAAGAGCACUCUGGCUGUCACAAUGUACUUUAUAAUCUUUCUGCUUGAUCCCUAAUUCUUGGAGAAAUCUCUUUAACCACAACAUUUCUUUACCUGCUUCCGUCACUGCAAUAUAUUCUGCUUCUGUUGUAGAUAAAGCAACACACUUUUGUAGUCUUGACUGCCAUGAAACAGCUCCCCCUACAAAAGUGUAGAGAAAUCCUGAAGUAGAUUUUCUACUGUCAAGAUCUCCCGUCAUAUCUGAAUCUGUAUAACCUUCCCGUAGCACAGACAUAUCUUUGAUGUACCUUUGAGGCAUUCCCAAAAUCUGUUGAGCUGAGCCUAAGUCCUUCAUGUCGAAGAACUUGGAGAGUUCCUUCUUCAGCUGCCUGAUUUUUGUUGCAUCUCGUCCGACGAUCAGCAUGUCGUCUACAUACAAUAGAAGAGCAACAAAAUUGCCAUCCGAAAAGUGUUGAAUAUAAACGCACUGAUCCGCAGUUGUUCUUUUAUAGCCUUGACUCACCAUGAAAGAGUCAAACUUUUUGUACCAUUGCCUGGGUGCUUGCUUAAGACCAUAUAAGCUCUUCUUUAGCUUACAAACGAAGUUUUCUUUCCCUGAAACUUCAAAACCUUCUGGUUGCUCCAUAUAAAUUUCUUCAUAUAAAUCACCAUGAAGAAAUGCUGUUUUGACAUCCAUCUGUUCAAGCUCUAGAUUUAGAUUGGCUACUAGUCCAAGGAUAACUCGAAUUGAGGCCAUUUUUACAACAGGUGAAAAAAUAUCGUCAAAGUCAACUCCCUUCUUUUGAAGAAAUCCUUUGACUACCAAACGGGCUUUAUGUUUUACCACCUUUCCACUGCCAUCUUUCUUGAGCUUGAAAACCCAUUUAUUCCUUAAUGUCUUCUUUCCCUUCGAAAGCUCAACUAACUCAUAUGUUUAAUUUUUCUGCAGUGACUCCAUCUCAUCCUGCAUUGCUUGUAUCCACUUGUCUUUGUCUACAUGAGUUUGUGCUUCCUGAAAGCUCUCUGGCUCUCCUUCGUCAGUGAGCAAAAGGUACUCUGAUUCUGGAUAUCUCGUUGAUGGAAUCCGUCCUCGUUCAGAUCUUCUUACCUGUGGAUCGUUAAUUUCAGGAGGUGCAUCAUCAUCUGACUGAUGUGAUGGUCCAACAUCUGGUGAAGAGGAUUGUGACUCCCCCUGAUCAAUAUCCCCUUCUUCAUCCUCCUGUUCUGCUUCCGGCAUUUCUUCAUACACAUCGUCGUUAUCUAUGGUGAAUUGUGUUUGUGCUGGAUCUGGAGCAAUAUUUUGGACACCAAAAUUAGAAUUAGGAGAUAUUGUGGGAUUUUCAAUGUCUUCUAAUGUUUGGUUUUCAUGGAACACUACGUCCCUGCUUCUGAUGACCUUCUUUGUCUUUGGAUCCCAUAAUCUGUAUCCAAAUUCCUCAUCGCCAUAGCCUAUAAAGAUGCAUGGAGUGGUCCUUGCAUCUAGCUUUUGUCUUAGCUCCUUGGAUACAUGUGCAAAGGCUAAACAGCCAAAUACUCUCAGGUGAGAGUAGGNNNNNNNNNNNNNNNNNNNNNNNNNNNNNNNNNNNNNNNNNNNNNNNNNNNNNNNNNNNNNNNNNNNNNNNNNNNNNNNNNNNNNNNNNNNNNNNNNNNNNNNNNNNNNNNNNNNNNNNNNNNNNNNNNNNNNNNNNNNNNNNNNNNNNNNNNNNNNNNNNNNNNNNNNNNNNNNNNNNNNNNNNNNNNNNNGCGGUUCGAACAGCUUCUCCCCAAAAUGGCUUUGGCAGCUUAGCCAUACUUAUCAUGCUUCUGACCUUUUCCAUGAUUGUCCGAUUCAUUCUCUCAGCGACUCCAUUAUGUUGUGGAGUACGUGGGACCGUCUUCUCAUGUCGAAUGCCAUAUGUCCUGCAAUAGGCAUCAAACUCUUUGGAAGUAUACUCACCUCCAUUAUCUGUACGGAGACAUUUCAGCUUCUUUCCUAUUUCACGCUCUACCAUGGCAUGAAAUGAUUUGAAGUAAUCCAAUACUUAGUCCUUCCUCUUCAAGAAAUAUACCCAUACCUUUCGAGAAGCGUCAUCAAUGAAUGUUAAAAAAUACUUGUUACCGCCUAGUGAUUCAACCUCUAAGGGACCACAAACAUCAGAGUGUACUAGAUUGAGCAACUCUGAUCGUCUCGUAGAAGAGAAAUUGAAGGAGACUCUAUGUUGCUUACCAAAUAAACAGUGACUGUAAGGAUCCAGUGCAACUUCCUUGGCAACUGUGAUUAGCUCCUUCUUUGUCAAAGUAGACAAUCCCUUCUCACUCAUGUGACCAAGUCUUUGGUGCCACAAAUUUUGAGAAGGUUCACGUUCUACUACGUUGAGGCUAUCCGCAUGCAUUUUCAUAUGAGUCUUGUAUAAAGUGCCACAUAUAUGUCCUCGAGCGACAAGCAUGGAACCUUUCAUCAUUUUCCAUGUGCCAUUGCUAAAUUGAUUUACAUAGCCCUGUUUGUCAAGGGCUAUCCCUGAAAGUAGAUUUAGCCGAAGAUCAGGUACAUGUCGAACGUCCUUCAGGGUUAUUUUACACCCGAGGUUCGUUUGUAUCUUAAUAUCACCAAUUCCUAUAGUCUUAGAAGAACUGGUAUUUCCCAUCUUCACUGCACCAAAAUCACCGGCUUUGUAUGUUGUGAAGAAAUCUUUACGUGAAGUGGCGUGAUAAGAUGCUGCAGUGUCUAUUACCCACUCAAUAUCUUGGUUUGAGACAUGAAGACAUGUCUCUUCAUGGAUGGAGCAGAUAGCCACCUCUCCAGAAAUAGUGACUAGUGUCUCUCCUUCCUUAUUUUUCGACUGUGAACUGUAGUGGCCUUGCUCUCGUAGCAAUUUUCUAUAGUUCUUCUUCAAGUGGCCCUCCAUACCACAAUAGUAGCACUUAUAAGUAGGCUUCCUUCUAUCUAUAGAUCUACCCCUACUUUUGCUUCUACCUCUCCCCCUAUCUCGAAGCUCUCCUUGUUGUCUUCCCCGGUCCACUAUGACAAGGGCAUGUGAUUGGUCGGUGUCUACAUCUUUUCUUCUAGCCUCUUCAUUAAAUAGGGCAUCCUUAACCAUUGACAUGGUAAGUUUGCCAUCAGGGGCUGAGUUGCUAAGAGAUACUACUAAUGUCUCCCAACUAUCAGGAAGAGAACUUAAAAGUAGUAAAGCUUGUAUUUCAUCCCCAAGCGGCAUCUCCACAGAUGACAAUUGGUUUACCAAGCUCUGAAAUUCACUGGUGUGCUCAGCAACUGAAGUUCCACUCUUUAACUUCAGAUUCACCAAACGCCUCAUCAACAGGGCUUUGUUUCGAGCGGUCUUGGCUUGGUACAUGUCCUCCAGAAUCUUCCAGAGAGUAUAUGCAUAUGUCUCUUGUGCCACAUGGUGAAAGACACUAUGGUCAAUCCAUUGUCGAAUUUGACCGAUAGUUUUUCUGUUUAACUUCUUCCACUCCGUCUCCUUGGUAGGAUCGGGGUUUACGCCUUCGGCUUCCAGGGGGUCAUACAAAUCCUAACAACUGAGGAGGUCUUCCAUCCGAGGCCUCCACAGUGUGUAAUUGGUGGCAGUAAGCUUGAUCAUAGCUCCCGAUAAAGAUUCCUCCAUGGCUUAGGCUUGAUCAAAAUCGGAGCUAUAUCAAAACUACGAGGGCCAAUUGAUAAACCUUGCUCUGAUACCACUUGUUGUGAUUCUCCGAUCACGUAAAGAGAAAAUAAAAGAGGAAAAACAAUUCUAUUUCUACUUGAAUAGAAUUUACAACUGAGUUUACAAACUCAACAAAAAACCUCUCAAAAGAAUCUCUCUAAUCUCUCCUUUUUUUCUCUCUUCUCUAUCCUAUUUUUCUUCCUCUCAAGGGAAGGAAUCUCUCUUUUAUUGUGGCCUUACCCUCUCUCUAUUGUGGCUUUUUUUUUUCUCUUGGUAAACACCCCUAUUUAUAGAGAAAAAUGUUGCAAGAACCGCCAUAAAUUAUGGCCCAAAAUCUGCCAAACAAACCGCCUCAUAUUGGCCGAAAUUUGCUUGUCAAACCGCCUCAAUUUUCUGAUCCAAAAAUUGCCCGCCAACUGCCUAAAAAUUCUGCCAAAGAGCUGCCAUGAAAAUGCAUGAAAUCAGGCUAUUUUCAUGCAAAUUUCCAGCUGUAAUUUAAUGCAUGAAUCAGAAAAUGGUGGCUGCAACGUCUGAGGCGGUUGGGAGCUUCUAGCAUGUGGGAGGUAAGGUGGCUGGAGAAUUUUAAUUGAAAUUGUCUUCCUUUUGCAUGGUUGAUUUUUCAAUUUCUUCAGCUGGAAGAAACUCAAAAAUUGCAGCUGUAAUACGGCAAAAAUACGACUGGAAUAUAUCAG
rnacentral:lncRNA from 1 species